rnacentral:rRNA from 1 species
UGCGCAGGCGGCCUUUCAAGUCAGGUGUAAAAUCUCCCGGCUCAACUGGGAGGGACCAUCUGAUACUGUUGGGCUAGAGUACAGCAGAGGAGAGUGGAAUUCCCGGUGUAGUGGUGGAAUGCGUAGAUAUCGGGAGGAACACCAGUGGCGAAAGCGGCUCUCUGGGCUGUUACUGACGCUGUUGCACGAAAGCGUGGGGAGCAAACA